ACAGAUAAAAUCCUCACCCGUUCUAGUAAGCUUCUUUUUACAGACUAGUUUCCUUCUAGUCUGGGUCCAGCAAUCACUCACACCCCCUGUAGUUACUGUCCUUUGCUCCAGUCGGAGUAGUUAGUUCCCAUGGAGCUGGAUAGUAGAUUAAGCUAGACACGCUCAGUCUAACCCAAGCCCCUGUAUCUUCUGUAGCUCUGUGGGCUUAAAUACUGCAGCAGCGUCCCUGCAUUCUGGGCAGAUCAGAGACUAGAAUGUGAUUUGUGUGUGCUGGAGGACAGGACAGAUUAUUCCAUCACUGCCGACUGCCAGGUUCUUGUCCCUUCCCCGACACUUCUGAUGCUGGCCACUACCAAAGACGGGAUACUGGACCAUAUGGAUUUUGGCUCUGAGCCAGUCUGGCAAUUACUGUGUUCUGUUCUAAGGCAGAUCAAUGGAGACUAUAUGAAUGAAAUCUGAAGAUCAAUAAACCAGUCCUGUCACCCUGGGUUUGCUGAGAUUCCAUUCAAUUUCUUUGGUGCUUUCUCCAGCCCCCCAGUUUUACACUCACAUAGCAGCAUUGCGUUUGAAGUUGGCAGGCGGGGUGGGAGGUUUUGGCACAUGGCACACUGGAAAGGCAUGGCAGGGUUUGAUGCUGUGGGAGAAACUCAUUAGCUGGAUGCUUCUUGAAAUACUCCAUGAUGAAACUGCUGCUGUUUAACUUGCCACUCUUAAGUUUCAGAAUUAACAAUUCCUUGAGAUGAAUGAGGCAGGUUAUGGCUCUCUGCUUUCAUCUUGGGCUGUCUGCAGGCUCACAGCCAACACCAUUUACACACUUCUCACUUUCCUCCCAACUGUGGGGGUUACAUGCCCUUCAGUUGUUAAAGUUGCAAAUUUAAAUUCUAGAGCACAAUUUCACAGCAAUGGAGGAUGGGUGCAGGUUCUGUGGCUGGGUGUGGGUUCCAGGGUGGGUUCUGGUGCUGUGUGAGGACUCUGGGAUGGCUUCCAGGGCAGGUUCCAGGGCUGGGCAAGGGCUCCGGGGUCAGAUGAAGGUUCCAGAGCUGGGUCUGGGCUCUGGAAUGGGUUCUGGGGCCAGAUGAGGGCUCUGGGUGGGUUCUGGGGCUGGGUGAGAGCUCCAGGGCCUGUUCCAGAGCUGGGUGGGUUCCAGGGCCAGACAAGAGCUCUGGGGCAGGUUCCAGAGCUGGGUGAGGGCUCCAGGAUUGGGUGAAGGUUCCAGAGCUGGGUGUGGGCUCUGGAGCGGGUUCUGGGGUUGGACGAGGGCUCUGGGCAGGUUCUGGGGCUGGACGAGGGCUCCAGGGCCUGUUCCAGAGCCGGAUGAGGGCUCUGGGGUGGGUUUCAGGGCGGAUGAGGGCUCUGGGCAGAUUCUGGGGCUGGGUGAGGGUUCCAGGGCUGGGUGUGGGCUCUGGAGCGGGUUCUGGGGCUGGACGAGGGCUCUGGAGCGGGUUCUGGGGCUGGACGAGGGCUCCAGGGCCUGUUCCAGAGCCGGAUGAGGGCUCUGGGGUGGGUUUCAGGGCCGGA